rnacentral:rRNA from 1 species
GUGUCAGCAGCCGCGGUAAUACGGAGGGUCCAAGCGUUGUCCGGAAUCACUGGGUGUAAGGGUGCGCAGGCGGGCGUGUAAGUCAGGGGUGAAAGCCACCGGCCUAACCGGUGAAUUGCCCUUGAUACUGCACGUCUUGAGUCCCGGAGAGGCUAUCAGAAUUCGUGGUGUAGCGGUGAAAUGCGUAAAUAUCACGAGGAAUACCUGAUGCGUAGGCGGAUAGCUGGACGGGUACUGACGCUCAGGGACGAAAGCGUGGGGAGCGAACAGGAUUAGAUACCCUGGUAGUCCACGCCGUAAACGAUGGACGCUCGAUGUUGCACCGCUACAGGUGCAGUGUCUAAGCUAACGCGUUAAGCAUCCCACCUGGGGAGUACGAUCGCAAGGUUGAAACUUAAAGGAAUUGACGGGG